rnacentral:rRNA from 1 species
UACGAAGGGGGCUAGCGUUGUUCGGAAUUACUGGGCGUAAAGCGCACGUAGGCGGGUUUGUAAGUAGGGGGUGAAAUCCCAGGGCUCAACCCUGGAACUGCCUUCUAAACUGCAAGCCUGGAGGUCAGGAGAGGCGAGUGGAAUACCGAGUGUAGAGGUGAAAAUUCGUAGAUAUUCGGUGGAACACCAGUGGCGAAGGCGACUCGCUGGACUGAUACUGACGCUGAGGUGCGAAAGCGUGGGGAGCAAACAGG